rnacentral:misc_RNA from 1 species
UUAGGGGCCAAUAGUCACAACAUCAUUUACACAUCAUUCAUCGUGAAAAAGUAAAAGGCAAAUCAAGAUACUGUUCUUUUUAUUAUUUAUUAAUUAAAAUAAAAAAAAGCCUCCAAUUCAUUUAAUCUCUAGCUAGCAAGAGAGAGAUCUAGAAAGAAAAAGAAUAAAAAUAUUUGUUUGAUUCAGAAAGCAAAAUCCCUCUUUGAAAG